rnacentral:lncRNA from 1 species
UGGAUUGAAAACCCGAAAGGGCGAUCCAGGAAAAAGUUAGGGAUUAAGUGAAUGAUUGCGUUCUGAGUAGUUCUGAAUCUCAUCUCGUGUCGAUAACUGGAAACUUUCGAAGGAUAUGAAACAGUCCAAUCACCGUUUUCAGAAAGCUGAUCAUCUGGAGGAUCUUGAAGACGAGCGAGUCAUAGCAGAAUUGGAACCCGAUAGAAAUCCAUUUCACAUUGCCGUUAGAUUAAUUUUU